GCCCCGCGCUCGCUCGCGCCCUGGGUGGACGUCCCCGAGCCGCAGGCACCUGGGGUCUCGGCGCGUUGGACGGGCUCUCAGACGCCCCUCCGAGCGCCGUUACCUCGGUCCGUUCCGGGCGCGUGUGCACCUGUCGGCUCACGCGUGCUCAGGUCGCGGCGGGUCCCCCCUGCUGCGGGCACCUGCGGGGCGCCUCCUGCCCCGCAGGGCCGGGCCUGCACCUGCCGGCGUCUCCGGGUGCUUCCCUGCGUUCCGCGUCCUGCUCCCGUGGGCGCCGGCCCGUUCGGACUGGACGCCCCGCACAGCUCCGCGUCCCUGCGGGCGUUUUCACGGCCCUGGCGUGACGCGCGUCGUGCGUGGGGCGCAGAGGGACUCACGUGGGGGCGGGGGGUUGACGCCCGAGCGCCGCGGGGUCCCCAGGACCCGAGCCAACUCGAGCACUUUCGGGGGGCCGCGCGGGAGCUCGGACGCGGGCGCUGUGCCCUGCUCCCCGCCCCGAGCUGGCGGCCGGCGGAACGCGGCGGGAGACCCCAGCCGGGCCUUCAGGGUUCGCCUGGCGCCGCGUGGGGCCUCCUGCGGGCCUUGAGUCUGUGCCCGCGGACCCGCCGGGGGUCUGUUCACUCGUGGCCUGGAAACCCGCCUCACGUGGUUUCCCUGCGCUCGAGGACGGCGGCCCCAGGGCCGUGGGUCCACGCGUUCCGUCUGCCCCUUUAGCUGUUGGUCUGGUCCCUAAAACUCCGUCAUGGCCAGAAGCAGAAAUUAGUAGACGUUCGUCUUUUUUUUGAAUGAAGUGACUCAAUUGUGUUAUUUAAACUUAUGUUUGGACGGUUACUGAAAUAAAGUUCAGCUGAAAGUAUAAAGAAGACAUGCAAAAUGCAAAUAGUCCCUCCCCCCGCCCCUUUUUACUUCUCUGAAAGUUCUACGGAAGUUACCAAGUUGAGUAGAAAUUGAUCAUUGGUCAUUAAAAGACCUUAAAGUGAAAAUGUCUGACAUGACUUUGGAAUAAAGAGUCUUCUACUGUGAAACAAGGGUUUCAAGACACGAAUUGAACGUUCUGGGAAUGAUCCGAAGAAAAAGGCUGAAGAAGACAAGACACAGAUUUAAUUAUUGGAGAUUUGAGCUUAUAAAAAUAUUAUUCAAAGCUACAAACUACUGCCUGCUAUGGACGCGACACUGUCUGUUCAGGCUCUCCCCUAUCACACUGGACUUUGCCUCCUCUUUUGAAGCAGCUGGUUUCCCAUGGGCUAAUAUUUCUAUACCUGAUACGUGUUUAAAGUCAAGUAUAUGGAGUAGUGGAAAAAAGUUAUCCACCAAAACCACGUUCUCAGAGUCUGACCACGACGAUAGAGUCCUAGACGCUGUGCCUGCCCUGGCGCAGAGGUCAGUCUUGGACAGUGUGGAGCACCCGACGAGGUAUGCAAGAACACUUUCUACCUUCUGUGUUUGCCUGCUUGCGAGGAUGCCUCUGGAGUCAGGCAGGUGGUCUCUGCUGGACUGGGAGCGCGUGGCAGUGUCCCCCGUAAGGACUGGCCUCGUCCCUGCCUUGCGCUUGCCUGCAGAGUCCGCUCCUAGAGGAGAGAGGAGGCAGCCGGUGUAGGUCUCACCGUCCUCACUGAGGGGAAGAAUGCAGCCGAGUUGCUGAGAGCCGAGGCAGGAGACAACAGGGUUUGGCCCGUGACCCUUGUUCUGUAGAAGAGGAAACGGAGACAAAAUUGAGUAGCUCGUACAAGGCGAUAAGAUAAUUUAUUAUCAGAACGCAGAAGUCUCAUCUUCUGGUCUCGUUUCAUUCCACAACAUCUCCAAGGGGACUUGAAGUUUCGAUUGAGAAGACCCGGGUCACGAACACAAAACAGGUGAACGUAGUUGUGUCCGCACAUUCCGCAGGGAGCAGGAGCCCGAGGCGUGCUCGUGGGACAGCCUCGCCCAGGUGGGUGUGGGCAAGGUGGGGAGCGAGCCGGGUGGAGAAGAGGGGUGGGGACACCGUGGUGGAGGCGGCCAGACCCCCCGAUGAGCUCAGGGAAAGGGGUGAGGUGAGUCGGCCCGCGGCGAGCAGAAGGAGCUGGAACUCUGGAAGGCAUAGGGGA